AAGAUCCUAUGGCGGAUUCGACGAGGAACGCAGGGGUCCGAAUCCUAGGGUUUCGGAACUCGAUCAGCCUUCCAGGGCUGAUGAGGUGGACAAUUGGGCCUCCGUGAAGAAAUCUGUCCCCGCGUUUGAUUCUGGUCGGCAGAAUCGCUAUGGGGGAGGCGGCGGCGGUUUUGGUGGCGGAGGUGGUGGUUUUGGUGGCGGCGGUGGCGGUGGCGGUGGUUUUGGUGGUGCGUCUAGGGCUGAUGGUGUGGAUAAUUGGGCGGUUGGUAAGAAGGCUGCUCCUGUUAGAUCUUCCAAUUUUGGUUCAGGUUUUCGUGAUUCGGGCGUGGAACCGGAUCGUUGGUCGAGAGGUGGUCCGUCGCGUGAGACGGAGCGGACGGAGCGG
rnacentral:lncRNA from 1 species